CUCACAUGAUACAGUAUUUGCCAACAUUUCAACUCAACCCCAGCCAAGAUUUCCUACAUCAAAGGUGCCUCCGUUACACAAGGCAACAUUUCCAUUACAAAUUUCAACAAACGUGUUGAACAUUUUGGAAUCAGAGUCAGAAAAUUUUGGUCGUCAAAAUUUUACAUUCUGUAAAUUUACAGAGUUGAAUAAACGGUCAGAGUUAACGAUACCUGCCUUGCAUAAGUAAAUAUGCGAGUUCAUUCAACAUGACAGACAAAUUGCGAAGUAACAGCGACACAAAUUGCCACCGUCGUCUGGCCGGGACCGACUCGUGGGAGGACCUGAGCCGCGAGCUGCGCCACUCGCUCAACCGCUUCAGCUCGCCAUCCUUCCUGCACUCGCCGCCCAGUCCGCCGGAGCAGGCGCCGCCGUCGCCGCCGCCGCCGCCGCGCCACCAGUCGGCUGUCGUGCUCGGCACGCCCUUCGGCCGAGACAUCUGCGUCGGGCCCGACGACACGACCGCCGCGCCGCCGACGCCGCAGCUUCCCAACCCGCCGGCGGAGGCGCCCUGCGGCGGGCCGGAGUACGAGCACGACCGUCCCACCGCGCCGUACGACGCCUGGGACAAGGCGCUGCCCGCUCGGAUCGAGGUGCGCUACAUCCCCAUGUCGCUGCAGUGGUUCCAGGGCCGCUUCCACGACCGGACGCAGAUGGUGGGCAGCUUCAAGAAGGACUGCCGCUCGUGGCUGUGGAAGAACCGGCCGGCCGACUUCAAGGCGUUCACCGGCGAUGUGGUCGAGUCGGCGACGGUGGUGGAGCUGACGCCGUCGGCCCAUCUUCUGCCGUCCAUCACCGAGCACCAUCCCCCCAGCUAUGUCUGUGACGCCGACCUCGAUAUACCCAGCGAGUGAUAGAAAGGCGAGCUGGAUAUUACAGAGUGAGGAGGCAGGCGAGCUGGAUAAAACGGCGAGUGCGAUAGUUAGUGGUACCUCAGCAAGUGUCGAGUCGGCGGCCUGCAUAGUGGAUAUCCUAGUGAGACAGCCAGUAUCCCGGACAACCCCAGCGCGUCAGUCGGUGACCUGGACAUCCUGCCCAGUGAGACACUGAGACAUCUGUCGCAUAGAACUUGCUAUUCAUAUUCUUUGUGACUUGUCUGAUAACCAAUGUAUUUCAAUCUUGUUAUCGUACAUCAACGUUGCAUUCUUAUUUCUUAAUGAAGGUUGACUCAAUCA
rnacentral:misc_RNA from 1 species